UGUUUGUUUAGAGUAAAUUAGGCCCUGAAUGGGAAUGGGAAUGGCCCAUUCCCAUAGUAUGUGUUUGUUUCACAAAUUAAGCCCAGGAAUGGGAAUGCUAAGACCCCUGGAAUGGGAAUCAUCCAUUCCCUAGCAUAUCCACUUCAAUCAUUCUCAUUCCUGACCUAAUUUUCUAUUUCAAAAAACACGAUGCUUUACUAUUUUUCUCUAUUGCUCCAUCGCUACUGGUGCCACUGCUCAACUACCGCCAUCGCCUCCACUUUGCAACUGCUUCCGCCUCUCUGAAGCUGCUUCCGCCUCUCAUCAGCUACUUCCGCCUCCACUCAUCAGCUGCUUCCGCCUCCACUCAUCAGCUGCUUCCGCCUCCACUCAGUAGCUACCGUUCAUCUACUCUGCAGUUAUUGUUCUGCUACUCCGCUGUCACAACUGAUCUGCUACCUCCGCCCCUGAUCUGUUAUCGCUACCGCUUAUCUUACUCCAGUUAAUUACUCCAAAGCUAUUGGCAGUGUUUUCGAGUGUUUCAAUUUUAAAAUUAUCAUGUAUUUUUUUAGUUUAUAGAUUAGAACGAUGUUGAUUAAAACGUUGAUGUUUGUGUUAUAAACAAAUUAUUCUAGACAUAUUUCUAAUGAAUGAUUUAAUUGCAAUUUAUAAAAAUUAUGUAUUUAAUUAUCUUUUA